rnacentral:rRNA from 1 species
GUCUACGGCCACGCCACCCUGAACAAGCCCGAUCCCAUCUGCUCUUAGAAGCUAAGCAGGAUCGGGCCUGGUUAGUACUUGGAUGGGAGACCACCGAGGAAGACCAGGUGCUGUAGGCG